UACGUGAGGGGCGAACGUUGUUCGGUGUCACUGGGCUUAAAGGGCGCGUAGGUGGUUGUGUAAGUAACGUGUGAAAUCCCUCGGCUUACCCGGGGAAUUGCAUGUUAUACUGCAUGACUUGAGGAUCAGAGGGGAAUGGGGAACUCCAGGUGUAGCGGUGAAAUGCGCAGAUAUCAGGAGGAACACCGAUGGCGAAGGCAGGUCUCUGGGCUGACACUGACGCUCAUGCACGAAAGCGUGGGGAGCAAACAGG
rnacentral:rRNA from 1 species